rnacentral:rRNA from 1 species
GACGAACGCUGGCGGCGUGCUUAACACAUGCAAGUCGAACGGAAAGGCCCUGCUUUUGUGGGGUGCUCGAGUGGCGAACGGGUGAGUAACACGUGAGUAACCUGCCCUUGACUUUGGGAUAACUUCAGGAAACUGGGGCUAAUACCGGAUAGGAGCUCCUGCUGCAUGGUUGGGGUUGGAAAGUUUCGGCGGUUGGGGAUGGACUCGCGGCUUAUCAGCUUGUUGGUGGGGUAGUGGCUUACCAAGGCUUUGACGGGUAGCCGGCCUGAGAGGGUGACCGGCCACAUUGGGACUGAGAUACGGCCCAGACUACUAAGGGAGGCAGCAGUGGGGAAUAUUGCACAAUGGGCGGAAGCCUGAUGCAGCAACGCCGCGUGCGGGAUGACGGACUUCGGGUUGUAAACCGCUUUCGCCUGUGACGAAGCGUGAGUGACGGUAAUGGGUAAAGAAGCACCGGCUAACUACGUG